AUUGAACGCUGGCGGCAGGCCUAACACAUGCAAGUCGAGCGGAUGAAGGGAGCUUGCUCCUGGAUUCAGCGGCGGACGGGUGAGUAAUGCCUAGGAAUCUGCCUUGUAGUGGGGGAUAACGUCCGGAAACGGGCGCUAAUACCGCAUACGUCCUGAGGGAGAAAGUGGGGGAUCUUCGGACCUCACGCUAUCAGAUGAGCCUAGGUCGUAUUAGCUAGUUGGUGGGGUAAAGGCCUACCAAGGCGACGAUCCGUAACUGGUCUGAGAGGAUGAUCAGUCACACUGGAACUGAGACACGGUCCAGACUCCUACGGGAGGCAGCAGUGGGGAAUAUUGGACAAUGGGCGAAAGCAUGAUACAGACAUGCCGCGUGUGUGAAGAAGGUCUUCGGAUUGUAAAGCACUUUAAGUUGGGAGGAAGGGCAGUAAGUUAAUACCUUGCUGUUUUGACGUUACCAACAGAAAAAGCACCGGCUAACUUCGUG
rnacentral:rRNA from 1 species